GCCACAUGAUGUAUUUUGUGAUGCUGGAGCUGUGGCAAUGCGGACACUGAUCCACUACCCAUUUACUGAUGGCA